AAGGUGGUUGAAGACUUGAGUGAGCUCUUGAGGGGUUGGUGAACUUGAAAUAAAAGCUUCUUUAACUUCAAGAGGGCUCUUUGUUUAGGGCUGAAAUGUAUGCUUGAAAUCCUCUUCAAAACCUUUCUCUUAUUCUUGAUUCCCUCCUUUAAGUACUUUUUAUAACUUUAAAUAAUGGUGGAGAGUAAUCUGGGCUGAAAUAGAACCAUUAGAGCACAUUAAAUGAGCAUUAAAUGCAAUCGAAAUGGGUUAAAAACUAGCCAUUGCGAAAAUUUUCUGUCACAGGGGUCGACUCAUAGGGUCGACUCAUGC
rnacentral:lncRNA from 1 species